UUUACAAAAUGUGCUACCGAUAUUUCUAAAAAACGAGUUGGGGGGCGGAAAAAGCACUUCAUAGAAUAACAAGCAAUCGUGCGAUGAUGUGGUUGAGCAACGCCUGUGGCUUUCCGAUAAAAUUGUAAAAAAAUAACUAAUAAAAUAGACGAAUAAAUCGGUUGGAAAAGUAAUUAUAUUAUUUAUUUUUUUCUCGUGUGCCUGAAUUAAUAAAAUUGGAAGUCCUCUAGUGCUAAUAACAUUAAAAGAUCUUUCGGAGUCUUGAAAAAAAUGGGAACAGUAUCCAGCAUUUUCAUAAUUACAUCUAUUAUACCAUAUAAGGCUGCAGCAGCAGUCGCCAGCCAAAAGUACGCAACAAGUUGACUGCAACUUUUAUGAACAGGAUUUUCGCGCGUUAGCGUAUCAACCCCCUCCCACCGUAUUUCAUGCCUUUUUUAAUGUAUGCGUGAAUUAUUCGCCUUUUCCAUAUUUACCAAUAAAAGAACUCCUCUAAGUUCCUUUGCAGCGUCAAAUA